UACCUGGUUGAUCCUGCCAGUAGUCAUAUGCUUGUCUCAAAGAUUAAGCCAUGCAUGUCUAAGUAUAAACAAUUCUAUACUGUGAAACUGCGAAUGGCUCAUUAAAUCAGUUAUAGUUUAUUUGAUAGUACCAUUACUACUUGGAUAACCGUGGUAAUUCUAGAGCUAAUACAUGCGUAAAAACCCGACUUCUGGAAGGGUUGUAUUUAUUAGAUAAAAAACCAACCUGGGCAACCAGUUUUUUGGUGAUUCAUAAUAACUUUUCGAAU
rnacentral:rRNA from 1 species